rnacentral:rRNA from 1 species
AUUGAACGCUGGCGGCAUGCCUUACACAUGCAAGUCGAACGGCAGCAUGGAGGAGCUUGCUCCUCUGAUGGCGAGUGGCGAACGGGUGAGUAAAGCAUCGGAACGUACCGUGUAGUGGGGGAUAACGUAGCGAAAGUUACGCUAAUACCGCAUACGCACUGAGGUGGAAAGCAGGGGAUCGCAAGACCUUGCGCUAUACGAGCGGCCGAUGUCAGAUUAGCUAGUUGGUAGGGUAAAGGCCUACCAAGGCGACGAUCUGUAGCGGGUCUGAGAGGAUGAUCCGCCACACUGGGACUGAGACACGGCCCAGACUCCUACGGGAGGCAGCAGUGGGAAUUUGGACAAGUGGGGGAAACCCUGAUCCAGCCAUGCCGCGUGAGUGAAGAAGGCC